ensembl:lncRNA
CCUGACACCGUCCCCUUGGUGGGGGUGUGGUUAGGAAUCAACAUCCUAGUUUUAUACAUAUGCAUGCACAUGCUAGAUGGGAGACCAGCAACUUCUGUAGGGAGUAGACCCAACUUCAGUGAAACACCCACAGUGAUGUAGAUUCCUUGGGUGACUGGCCCCCUGGAACCCGUAUCGGCAUCAGACUACCCAAGUGCCCAGGGUUUCAAAUAAGUUUUUAGUGCUCGACCCUUAAAUAGGAGCCGCAGACCAACCAAAUGUGGAUCUCCAGCCAUCUGAAAAGAGCCUCCAAGAUGAAAGUGGGAUAUCAAAACAGAAAAGAAUCAACUUGAAAGAAACGGUCUGUACAAGGAAAAGAAAAAUCUAAAUCUCUUAAAUGUAUUCAAAGAAUAAGAGAAGACAGUGUAUGCAUGAGAUAACAGGAUCAGUUGUGUGUGUGUGUGUGUGUGUGUGUGUGUAUUUGGAGACAAAAGUAUAAAAUGAAAAACCAAUAGAAUAGUUGAAAGAAGUUGAAAAAAUAAUAUAGGAAGUUGAACAAAAGAUUGAAAGGAGACACGUGAUCAGAACCGCCUUAAGAGGUUGAGCAUCUCAAUGCCAAAGGAGUUUGGCAAAAAGAAAACAAGCUGGCAACUUUCAUUUUUAAUAUGAAAAAUCACCCAGAACUGAAUUAUGAGUUUGCAGGUUGAAAUGAUCAGCAAAAUAUAUGAAGAUAGACCUCCAGCGAGCCAGAGAUGGAGAUCCUACAGGAAGAGCAUUACCUGUGUGCAAAGGUCCAGGAGUGGAAACAUCUUCAGGUUAUGCAACUCCACACCGAGGAGCUGCACCUCAGAACCCAGGGAAAGCGAUUUCCAGCCUAGCAUCCCAAACCCAACCAAAGGGCCAGUAAAAUAAAGACGCUUUUACAUGUAAAAAUGUCAUCCACCACGCUGCCUUCCUUAGGAAGCUGCAGGAAGGCUGAAUCCCAGCACGGUAAAGGGCCAGUCAGGAUGAGGAGGACCUUCCCUAGCAAACAGCAAGCCUGACCCAGGACAGGGGAGUCCUGGGCAGAAUAUUUCCGUAGAGGGCAGAAUGUGGGCUGGAGUUGGUGAUGCAUAGAGUAAUCCAGAUUUGCUUUCCUGGAGUCUAGGUGAGGUCCACUUCCUUUGAUGCACACGACAGUGUGGAAGGGAAUUAAUACCCCAAAGUGGGAACUCAUUUGAGAAGGAGGGAGGGAGCAGGCAGCCACUGGGGCCUGGUUGUCCAGUAUUUACAUUGACCUUAUCCAGGAAGCAACUUCAAUGUUUAUGAGCCUGGUAGACACACUUGGGACACCAAGUGUCACCUUAUUCAGCUCUCCUGAAAAGCCUGGGGGAGCAGGUGGUGAGCCAGGCUCUAGGGUGGUUGAUCAGUAGCACGUAGCAU